GUUCCAUUAAGUCCAGUUUGAUAACUGCAGUAUUCAAAACUUCUUUGUCUUUGCUAUGUUUUCAUCAGAGAGAGGGGAGAAGGAGUUCACACAGGACAAUAAUCCUGUUUUACAAAAGGAUCAAUAUUGAAAACCAGUUACUGAUGAUAAGAUAGGUGGAACUGUUCUAGAACUCUGACUGGACUGAGGCAAAAUCUUUAGGCAAAAUUAUUUUAGCUCUGUGCUUGGUGCUUUUCCUUAAUAUUUCACUGGGUUUGAAAAUAGAAGAUCAAAGUGAAAAUCAGUGAAGCUCACCCAACUGUCACAAUUGGUUGUACUCUGUACUCGUAGUUUACAAGAUAAAAUGAACAGACUUGCAUGAUGUUAU
rnacentral:lncRNA from 1 species